GCUACAGGCUUAACACAUGCAAGUCGAGGGGCAGCAUGGUCUUAGCUUGCUAAGGCCGAUGGCGACCGGCGCACGGGUGAGUAACACGUAUCCAACCUGCCGUCUACUCUUGGACAGCCUUCUGAAAGGAAGAUUAAUACAAGAUGGCAUCAUGAGUCCGCAUGUUCACAUGAUUAAAGGUAUUCCGGUAGACGAUGGGGAUGCGUUCCAUUAGAUAGUAGGCGGGGUAACGGCCCACCUAGUCUUCGAUGGAUAGGGGUUCUGAGAGGAAGGUCCCCCACAUUGGAACUGAGACACGGUCCAAACUCCUACGGGAGGCAGCAGUGAGGAAUAUUGGUCAAUGGGCGCAGGCCUGAACCAGCCAAGUAGCGUGAAGGAUGACUGCCCUAUGGGUUGUAAACUUCUUUUAUAAAGGAAUAAAGUCGGGUAUGGAUACCCGUUUGCAUGUACUUUAUGAAUAAGGAUCGGCUAACUCCGUGCCAGCAGCCGCGGUAAUACGGAGGAUCCGAGCGUUAUCCGGAUUUAUUGGGUUUAAAGGGAGCGUAGAUGGAUGUUUAAGUCAGUUGUGAAAGUUUGCGGCUCAACCGUAAAAUUGCAGUUGAUACUGGAUAUCUUGAGUGCAGUUGAGGCAGGCGGAAUUCGUGGUGUAGCGGUGAAAUGCUUAGAUAUCACGAAGAACUCCGAUUGCGAAGGCAGCCUGCUAAGCUGCAACUGACAUUGAGGCUCGAAAGUGUGGGUAUCAAACAGGAUUAGAUACCCUGGUAGUCCACACGGUAAACGAUGAAUACUCGCUGUUUGCGAUAUACGGCAAGCGGCCAAGCGAAAGCGUUAAGUAUUCCACCUGGGGAGUACGCCGGCAACGGUGAAACUCAAAGGAAUUGACGGGGGCCCGCACAAGCGGAGGAACAUGUGGUUUAAUUCGAUGAUACGCGAGGAACCUUACCCGGGCUUAAAUUGCAGAUGAAUUACGGUGAAAGCCGUAAGCCGCAAGGCAUCUGUGAAGGUGCUGCAUGGUUGUCGUCAGCUCGUGCCGUGAGGUGUCGGCUUAAGUGCCAUAACGAGCGCAACCCUUGUUGUCAGUUACUAACAGGUUCCGCUGAGGACUCUGACAAGACUGCCAUCGUAAGAUGUGAGGAAGGUGGGGAUGACGUCAAAUCAGCACGGCCCUUACGUCCGGGGCUACACACGUGUUACAAUGGGGGGUACAGAGGGCCGCUACCACGCGAGUGGAUGCCAAUCCCAAAAACCUCUCUCAGUUCGGACUGGAGUCUGCAACCCGACUCCACGAAGCUGGAUUCGCUAGUAAUCGCGCAUCAGCCACGGCGCGGUGAAUACGUUCCCGGGCCUUGUACACACCGCCCGUCAAGCCAUGGGAGCCGGGGGUACCUGAAGUGCGUAACCGCGAGGAGCGCCCUAGGGUAAAACUGGUGACUGGGGCU
rnacentral:rRNA from 1 species